UACGGGGGGGGGCAAGCGUUGUUCGGAAUUACUGGGCGUAAAGGGCUCGUAGGCGGCCAACUAAGUCAGACGUGAAAUCCCUCGGUUUAACCGGGGAACUGCAUCUGAUACUGGAUGGCUUGAGAUUGGGAGAGGGAUGCGGAAUUCCAGGUGUAGCGGUGAAAUGCGUAGAUAUCUGGAGGAACACCGGUGGCGAAGGCGGCAUCCUGGACCAACACUGACGCUGAGGAGCGAAAGCGUGGGGAGCGAACAGG
rnacentral:rRNA from 1 species